CCCUGGUGGCGAGUGGCGAACGGGUGAGUAAUGCAUCGGAACGUGCCCAUCGAUGGGGGAUAACUGCGCGAAAGCGUUGCUAAUACCGCAUACGACCUACGGUGAAAGCAGGGGACCGCAAGGCCUUGCGUCGAUGGAGCGGCCGAUGCCGGAUUAGCUAGUUGGUGAGGUAAAGGCUCACCAAGGCGACGAUCCGUAGCUGGUCUGAGAGGACGACCCAGCCACACUGGGACUGAGACACGGCCCAGACUCCUACGGGAGGCAGCAGUGGGGAAUCUUGGACAAUGGGCGAAAGCCUGAUCCAGCAAUGCCGCGUGUGGGAAGAAGGCCUUCGGGUUGUAAACCACUUUUGGCGGGAAAGAAAUGGUCUGUGCUAAUACCACGGAUUGAUGACGGUACCCGCAGAAUAAGCACCGGCUAACUACGUG
rnacentral:rRNA from 1 species